rnacentral:rRNA from 1 species
UACGGGGGGAGCAAGCGUUGUUCGGAUUUACUGGGCGUAAAGGGCGCGUAGGCGGCGUGACAAGUCACUUGUGAAAUCUCCGGGCUUAACCCGGAGCGGCCAAGUGAUACUGUCGUGCUAGAGUGCGGAAGGGGCUACUGGAAUUCUCGGUGUAGCGGUGAAAUGCGUAGAUAUCGAGAGGAACACCUGCGGCGAAGGCGGGUAGCUGGGCCGACAUUGACGCUGAUGAGCGAAAGCUAGGGGAGCAAACGGG